rnacentral:pre_miRNA from 1 species
AGAAUACUCCCUCCGUCCCAAAAUUCUUGUCUUAAAUUUGUUUAGAUACGAAUGUAUCUAGUCAAGUUUUAGUAUUUAGAUACAUUUAUUUCUAGACAAAGCUAAGACAAGAAUUUUGGGACGCAGGAAGUAUAUA